rnacentral:rRNA from 1 species
AUUGAACGCUGGCGGCAUGCUUUACACAUGCAAGUCGAACGGCAGCGCGGGGCAACCUGGCGGCGAGUGGCGAACGGGUGAGUAAUAUAUCGGAACGUACCCAAGAGUGGGGGAUAACGUAGCGAAAGUUACGCUAAUACCGCAUACGAUCCAUGGAUGAAAGUGGGGGAUUCGCAAGAACCUCAUGCUCCUGGAGCGGCCGAUAUCUGAUUAGCUAGUUGGUGAGGUAAAGGCUCACCAAGGCGACGAUCAGUAGCUGGUCUGAGAGGACGACCAGCCACACUGGGACUGAGACACGGCCCAGACUCCUACGGGAGGCAGCAGUGGGGAAUUUUGGACAAUGGGCGCAAGCCUGAUCCAGCAAUGCCGCGUGAGUGAAGAAGGCCUUCGGGUUGUAAAGCUCUUUUGUCAGGGAAGAAACGGUUGGGGCUAAUAUCCCCGGCUAAUGACGGUACCUGAAGAAUAAGCACCGGCUAACUACGUGCCAGCAGCCGCGGUAAUACGUAGGGUGCAAGCGUUAAUCGGAAUUACUGGGCGUAAAGCGUGCGCAGGCGGUUUUGUAAGUCUGUCGUGAAAGCCCCGGGCUCAACCUGGGAAUUGCGAUGGAGACUGCAAGGCUUGAAUCUGGCAGAGGGGGGUAGAAUUCCACGUGUAGCAGUGAAAUGCGUAGAGAUGUGGAGGAACACCGAUGGCGAAGGCAGCCCCCUGGGUCAAGAUUGACGCUCAUGCACGAAAGCGUGGGGAGCAAACAGGAUUAGAUACCCUGGUAGUCCACGCCCUAAACGAUGUCUACUAGUUGUCGGGUCUUAAUUGACUUGGUAACGCAGCUAACGCGUGAAGUAGACCGCCUGGGGAGUACGGUCGCAAGAUUAAAACUCAAAGGAAUUGACGGGGACCCGCACAAGCGGUGGAUGAUGUGGAUUAAUUCGAUGCAACGCGAAAAACCUUACCUACCCUUGACAUGUCAGGAACCUCCGAGAGAUUGGAGGGUGCCCGAAAGGGAACCUGAACACAGGUGCUGCAUGGCUGUCGUCAGCUCGUGUCGUGAGAUGUUGGGUUAAGUCCCGCAACGAGCGCAACCCUUGUCAUUAGUUGCUACGAAAGGGCACUCUAAUGAGACUGCCGGUGACAAACCGGAGGAAGGUGGGGAUGACGUCAAGUCCUCAUGGCCCUUAUGGGUAGGGCUUCACACGUCAUACAAUGGUACAUACAGAGGGCCGCCAACCCGCGAGGGGGAGCUAAUCCCAGAAAGUGUAUCGUAGUCCGGAUCGCAGUCUGCAACUCGACUGCGUGAAGUUGGAAUCGCUAGUAAUCGCGGAUCAGCAUGUCGCGGUGAAUACGUUCCCGGGUCU